UCAUGGAAUGUAAUGGGGGGAGGUACAUGGUUAACCUUUUUGGAGACCAAUUUUAGCAACAAGGCUGAAAUCAUCCACCUUCGCUUAUUCAGUAUGGAUCGCGAGAACGCAGAGCCGGUGUGGGGAAGCCGAGGGGUCCUGCCACGCAACCACCUGAUUGGCAAUGCGACACCUCCGAGGAAUGACAGCUGGAGAGGUGGAGAAACCGGAAAGACGAACCCCUCCGACCGAUGAUUAAAAACGCCAUUAUGCUAAGCGGUCGCUUGCUGGUACUGCUAAGAGAGACAUUCCAGGCCCACAGGAGUCACCCGAAAUGUGAAAAUUCAGCAAAGGACACGCAGCGCAUUUGUUCAUGGUUUGAAUUUGCAAUGAAUAAAAUGAGGUUAUAAAGAAACACUGAAUCAUCGAAA